AGAGGGGAUUAAACGAGGCCUUCCAAUUCAGCUGCCCAGGCCCAGGGCAGGGCGGGCCAGGCAGGGCUGCGGGUGUUUGCACAAGCGCCCUGUGAGUCCUGUCUGAAGGGUCAGUCACUGACCCAGGGAGUGUGGCGACUGAGACCACUGGGACACACGCCUCCCCAUCAUCUCCCACGCAGCGUUCCUGAUGGAGAGGGGAGCCCUCCCCAAGGAGGAGAGGGCAGGGUGCACAGCUCUGGAGAACACCCAACUUCAUGAUGUCACGAGGAAACAAGUUUGGGCUGAGAAAUGAGCAUCUCACUGCGGUCUUCACUCCUCGUGGCUCUGGGGUUCCCCUCCUUUGAAUACCACCAGCAGCAGAGCUUUUCUGAGAAUGCGAAGAAAUAAAAUACCUGGUUUUACUGAAAUAAAUUCAUAGUAGACAAUAAGAAGCCAUCAGAAAGCAGGUGCAUUUGAUGCCGCCUUACGGAGGUAGACAGGAACCCUCGCCACCCUGGAAGAGAGGCACCAAAUAAACCCAAGAUGAAGAAAUUGGCGGUCAGAAUGUCAGAGAGGUAGCAAAGGACUCCAUAACUCAAUCUCUAUUCAAUAUGCCAUAAUGCCUCUCACAGUUGCUAUGCCAUCAAAUUAA